rnacentral:ncRNA from 1 species
ACGGAGGAAGCCGAAAAGCCGUUAAGUGAGUAGGCC